rnacentral:rRNA from 1 species
UACGUAGGGGGGCUAGCGUUGUCCGGAUUUAUUGGGCGUAAAGAGCGUGUAGGCGGCCAGGUAGGUCUGCUGUGAAAACUCGAGGCUCAACCUCGAGACGUCGGCGGAAACCAUCUGGCUAGAGUCCGGAAGAGGAGAGUGGAAUUCCUGGUGUAGCGGUGAAAUGCGUAGAGAUCGGGAGGAACACCAGUGGCGAAGGCGGCUACCUGGACCAGCACUGACACUGAGGCACGAAAGCGUGGGGAGCAAACAGG